rnacentral:rRNA from 1 species
GGACUACCCGGGUUUCUAAUCCUGUUUGCUACCCACGCUUUCGUGUCUCAGCGUCAGUUACUGUCCAGAGAGCCGUCUACACCACAGGUGUUCCUCCUGAUAUCUACGCAUUUCACCGCUACACCAGGAAUUCCACUCUCCCAUCCAGUACUCUAGCCCUCCAGUUUUCGGCGCACCCUCCCAGUUGAGCCGGGAGAUUUCACACCAAACUUAGAGAACCGCCUACACACCCUUUACGCCCAGUAACUCCGAACAACGCUUGCUGCCUACGUAUUACCGCGGCGGCUGGCAC